AUUAAGUUUAAUUUAAUAUAGGAUCUGCUCAAUGAUUUAUUAAAUAGCUGCAGUAUUUUGACUGUGCAAAGGUAGCAUAAUAAUUAGUCUUUUAAUUGAGGACUUGUAUGAAAGAUUUGAUGAGAAAUAAACUUUAUUAUUUAUAUAUUUAAAAUUUUAUUUUUAAGUAAAAAAGCUUAAAUUAUUUAAAGGGACGAUAAGACCCUAUAAAACUUUAUAAAUUUUAAUUUUAAUUUUUUUGGAUUUAUAAAUAUAUUAUUUUUAAUAUUUAUUUUAUUGGGGUGAUAAAAAAAAUUAUUUAACUUUUUUUAAAAUUUUACAUUAUUUAGUGAAUUUUUGAAUUAAAAUUUUUAAUUAAAGGAAAAAGUUACUUUAGGGAUAACAGCGUAAUUAAUUUUUUAAGUUCAAAUUUAAAAAUUAGUUUGCGACCUCGAUGUUGAAUUAAGAUUAAUCUUAGGUG
rnacentral:rRNA from 1 species